rnacentral:lncRNA from 1 species
UUUAGGCAGUUAAGCUGCCUUAUGCGAGCACCCUAGAUUUGUGUUCUACCCAAUAAAUGCUGAAAUACGUGCCAUUGUUAUUAUCUAGCUGAAUAGUAUGUUAUUUAUAACUAAUUGAACAGUUUUUUCAUACUUUUAAUUCUGGAUUACAAAAAAUAUGACCAGAAAAACCUUAAAUGAUCGUCGAUUUAUCCAAAAGUUUUGAAGUUGCACGUAGGAAGUAGAGCACAUUAGGAAUCCUUAUGUAGUUUAUUAUCCCCUGAGCUUUUGGCUAAGAUGUCAAAGAACAAAUGUAUGAAAUAUUUAAUCGCCGAAAAUUUCUAAAGACAGGUAGUUUAGAUUUCCCAAAUGGCAAAAGUCGUAGGAAUAUUGUUUGUCAUCAAUACGUAGUCAACUACGUCAGUAGUCUAUUAAAAUUCAUACUGUUGGCGGCAAUUUUAAAUUAGAAGACGAAAUUUGCGUAUCUUUUCAAUAUGUAGACAGGGGUUCAAAUUAGCGGUGAUCCGAGGUCCGCGACCUUCCACUUUUGCAGUCGGACUUUCGACUUGGUUACUAGCUACGCCCGACAUGCCACUUGAAAGAAAAUAAUAAAUAACUUUGCAAACCUUUUUACCAAAGUCUCCAAAUAAACGAUCUCAAAACUUAUUUUCAUCAUUAUUAUUCAUGACAGCGAUGUUCAUUUUGUUCAACCGCUAGCUUUAUACAGAAAAUCGCCGACAAAUAAUGUGUAAAUUCGAGUAAAAUCGUAUCUGACUGACAAAAACAACAUUGAAAACAAAAUGGAUGACAAUUACAAUAUCGGAUCCGAUUCCGGAAGCGGAUAAGAGUAAUUCCGGAUUUUGGCGAUCAACUAAAAAAAUUCCAUACAGGUGACAAAAUACAUCUAUGCAUGGUAAAUAAAUAUAAACACUAGAAUUGAAACCCAAAAGAUAUAUGUUAAAGAAAGAAAAAGCAGAAAAUAUUUUGUACAGAAACUCAAAAUUACUUUUUGACAAAUUUAAAUGUCAAAAUCCAAUAGAAUGUGACAGCUGGGAACAGUAUAUCUAACAAUAAAUAUGUUCCUGGUGACAGUAUAAAUUUUCUUUAUCAGUGAUAAAUGUUGAUAAUGCAUGUGAGAUGCUUUUAAAGUCUAAACAUAUUCCUGCAAUUUCAAUGGGUAUUUUUUUUUCUCAAUUUUGAAGGGUCAUUUAAAAUAGCUGGAAGUUUCUUACUUUAUUUUCACAAAUAGUGCAACUAGAUUAUAUGAUACCUGAAUGUAAGCAAAUCAUAUGAUAUAUAGGUGGAGUCCUUUGGGUCACUCUACCCCCUCCUGUUUGAUAACUUUGAAACGGAUGAGAUCCCCA